UAGUAGCCUGAUGGAUCGAAAGAUGAAGGGUGAGAAGUUGGAUGGAAAUCUGGUAAAAGGAUUCGGCAUGUUGCGUAGGGAUAAUCAACCACGGAGGGCGAAGAGAUUGUCCUUAUCCUCACAAGGCUAAAAGAGGAGAUAGUGCUUCUGAUAAUUCAGAAGGGCGUCGUGAAACACAUUUUGUGGCUCGUCUGUAACUCCCGGAGGUGAGAACACCUCUUUGUACACGGGGCGAUAUAGGAGUCUAGAAGACUGGCGUGUACCUACA
rnacentral:ncRNA from 1 species